CUCUAAGGUAAAUCUUCACUGCUCAUGUUCUCCUCAGAAGCAGUCACCUCACUCCCCUCAGGUUACUGUACACAUGCACCAACUGCCUGCUUCAGGUUUGGAUGGAGCUUCAUGGUUGUCUUUUGGAGAAAUGACCAGUCAAGUUGUGUUUGAAAUUUGAUUUUUUUCAGGGGCAAAAGGAGCCUCUGCAUUCUUGUCAAAUAUGUAAAUAGCAUGUUUUUGCAGGUGCUACAAACCAGACUCUGAGUGUGUGUGUGUGCGUGUGUGUGUGUGUCUGUGUGUGUGUGUGUGUGUGUGUGUGCGCGUUCAAGUCACAUGACAUAUUUAACCGGAUGUAGCUGCAAGACGGAGCCUCGUUGACUCUCCGUUUCAAUUUAUCUCAAAAGUGAGGACCUCAACCUAUAUACCAGUUUUUAAAUUGUGUUGAUAGGCCAAAUAAAACCAGAGUUAUGAUAAAUUAUGUCCGCGAUACUUGUUUUCUGCUUAUUUUGAUCACGUUCGGCGCUCGAUCGCGCUGUAUGAGACAGGAAAACAUAGCAUGCAGACAUUAGCGACAGGUCUUACAGGCGGAAAAGGCUUGCCAAAGGAAAAAAAAUACACACCACAACAUCUCUCCUAUUGGUGGAAAACUUCACCACAACAACCAAUCCAAAAUUAUAUGGUGACUGAUUGACAAGGGGCGGGCGCUUACGUUCUUCCUGCAAUAUGAGAAGGGAGGGAGGGACUCUCAGCAGGGAUGCAGUCUGGGACACGUAGUUGCAAACCUAGCGACUUUGUUGUAGAUUCAAUGACUUUUCAGACCCCCUAACGACUUUUUUUUUAGAAAGAAAGGGACUUUUAUCAACUUCUUCUGGAGUUUAGAAACUCUGACAUGAAGCAGGCUUUCCUUACUGAGGAGUUAGCAACGCUGCUAAGGGUGCAGAGACACACAUGAGCUCCGAGCUCUGCAUGGGAGACUGAAGCUGACAGAGCUGCAGCAGUUAGCAGGUUUCACCCUCAGAGACCACCAGGGGUUCAUGUUGAGGCAUUUUCAGUUUUUUUUUUUUUUUUUGCCAUAGACACUGUCAGCACAAUCUGCAGUUACACUAACAAAAAAGCUGCAAAAAACAAAGAAUUAUGGAAAAAUUACACAUGGACUGACAUAGAGGAGGAUCUACACAAGUUUUUUACAUCAUGUUUUACAUCAUGCAUCAUUUACAUCAUGUUUUUUUGUAGUGGCAUAAAUAAAAAGUGACAUUUGUGAGACUAUACAGUGUUUUGUAAAUAAUUUUACAAAGAACGCCUGGGCCAUUGCCUGCAUUUUGAUGUAAAUAGAGGUAAAUUACUAUGUUCUUUGUUAAAAAUUUGCAUAUGUUUUGAAGUUUACAAUUUUUAUUUGAAGUUUAAGUUUUAAAAACAGUUCAUCACACAUAUUUGUGGUUUUCACAGUAAAAAUGUUACUUUUUUCCACUCGGAUUUUAUGUUUUGUGUGUGAAUUUGGGUCCAUUGUGUAAAUACAGUAUGUCAAAAUGAUAAAAUAACUGUAAAUUCACACAGGUGAGGUUGUGCUGAAAAAAAUGAUACCAGGCAAGGCAAGGUAAAAAAAUUUUAAGAGGAAAUAUAAAGGUAAAAUCUAAAGUAGUCAAAAACGGCCAAUAGUGACUCACAGACUCCACAGACAAGUCCCUUUGGCGCCACUCAGUGGGCAAAACUACUUUGUCUGCUGUAAUGUAUAUUUGGGUCAUCUUUGGCGCCCCCUAAAACGUAAACCGUGGGGUGCAGCGUCAUGAUUUUUACAACUUUGAAUGGCCAUGGAGUGUAGAUUGGCCUGAGCAAAUUUGGUGUCAGUGGGACGAAAGCCUUAGGAGGAGUUAGCGAAAUUCCAAUGUGUGCGAAUCGGCAAAAAAUGCAAAAUAGCCCUUUUACCGUACAUUAUACAGAUACGCGCUCUUUGACUUUUUCGUAGAUCUAAUUGAGAUACACAUGAUUGUCAAUUUUUGUGUCAUUUUGCCAAAGCGUACAGGCGUGACAGUCAACAAUGUGUAUUUUCACCUUAGGGGACAAGAAAAAAUGGACUUUUUUCUCCUGCCAUGGGGGGGCGCUCUUUUAGGGAGUAAAAAUUCCUUCACAAAUGUGUUGAUGGCUGGACAUUGCAUCAUCCUAGAAAACUUGGAGGCCAGUGAGGACAAAAAUAAAAAGUUAUAAGACUUUUAAAAAUGUGGAUUUUUGGGUUAUAUUUGGCGCCCCCUAGAACGUAAACCGUGGGGUGCAGCGUCAUGAUUUGAAUAACUUUUAAUGGCCAUGGGGUGUAGAUUGGCCUGAGCAAAUGUGGUGCCGGUGGAACGAAAGCCUUCGGAGGAGUUAGCGAAAUUCCAAUGUGUGCGGAUCGGCAAAAAAUGCGAAAUAACCCUUUAACCGUACAUUAGACAGAUACGCGCGCAUGGACUUUUUUGUAGAUCUUAUUGAGAUACAUGUGUGUGUCAAUUUUUGUGUCAUUUUGACAAAGCGUACAGGCGUGACAGUCAAUAGUGUGAAUUUUCACCUUAGGGGACAAGAAAAAAUGGACUUUUUUCUCCUGCCAUGGGGGGGCGCUCUUUUGGGGAGUAAAAAUUCCUUCACAAAUGUGUUGAUGGCUGGACAUUGCAUCAUCCUAGAAAACUUGGAGGCCAGUGAGGGCAAAAAUAAAAAGUUAUAAGACUUUUAAAUAUGUGGAUUUUAGGGUUAUCUUUGGCGCCCCCUAGAACCUAAACCGUGGGGUGCAGCGUCAUGAUUUGAAUAACUUUUAAUGGCCAUGGGGUGUAGAUUGGCCUGAGCAAAUGUGGUGCCGGUGGAACGAAAGCCUUCGGAGGAGUUAGCGAAAUUCCAAUGUGUGCGGAUCGGCAAAAAAUGCGAAAUAACCCUUUAACCGUACAUUUGACAGAUACGCCUGCACUGACUUUUUUGUAGAUCUUAUUGAGAUACAUGUGUGUGUCAAUUUUUGUGUCAUUUUGACAAAGCGUACAGGCGUGACAGUCAAUAGUGUGAAUUUUCACCUUAGGGGGCGCUAUGGAGCCAUUUUGCAUUUUCUUGUUUGGGCAACUUCGGAAUAUCAAAUUUUUCACCAGGCCCGGUCGUCCUGCCAAAUUUCAUGAGUUUUCGCCAGUGGGAAGUGGGCCAUUUUCCAGUUCAAAGGGGAGGAAAAAUAAUAACUAGGACCCCGUUGGGGCACUGGCGGGCCCGAGCCGUGUCGCGUCCCCCCCCCCACGUGCUGCCUCCCCGUCCCAUUUGUGUCCUCUGGCCAUCGCCCUCUCUGGUAACGCCCAUCACUGCAAAGACCCUUUUCCUUCAUCGGCGUUUGCUGUUCUUCCUGCCAGUGCGUGUUGCUUUCACUUACACUUGCCACAGCCAGCCUCGUGAGUGCCUAGCCUAUUGGAUAUCACUGUCACCUACACAGGACAGUCAUUACCUUUCUAUUAAUACUUUGUGAUUUAAUUUCACAUUAAUUUCCAUAUUGUAUAAACGACUGGAAAAAACUUGAGCCCCUGCCCCUGUAUAAUCAUGUGCAUGUCUCUGUUCUAGCUCCAAGGUGAAUCUUCACUGCUCAUGUUCUCCUCAGAAGCAGUCACCUCACUCCCCUCAGGUUACUGUACACAUGCACCAACUGCCUGCUUCAGGUUUGGAUGGAGCUUCAUGGUUGUCUUUUGGAGAAAUGAACAGUCAAGUUGUGUUUGAAAUUUGAUUUUUUUCAGGGGCAAAAGGAGCCUCUGCAUUCUUGUCAAAUAUGUAAAUAGCAUGUUUUUGCAGGUGCUAAAAACCAGACUCUGAGUGUGUGUGUGUGUGUGUG